rnacentral:rRNA from 1 species
GUCAAGUCAUCAUGGCCCUUAUGUCCAGGGCUACACACGUGCUACAAUGGGCGGUACAACGCGACGCGAGCCCGCGAGGGUUGAGCGAAACCAGGAAAGCCGCCCGUAGUUCGGAUUGAAGUCUGAAACCCGACUUCAUGAAGGUGGAAUCGCUAGUAAUCGCGCAUCAGCAUGGCGCGGUGAAUACGUUCCCGGGCCUU